UCCAACUUUCUUUAUCAGAACCCUCAAUUUUUACUUCAGGGUCAGUUACGCUCUUGAUCUCCUCCCUCCUACCCCGUGCUCCGCCGCUCGUGCUUCAGGCUCCUUCUGCGUGCUCUGCCUCCCGUCUGUGGUCGCCGCUGGUGCUUCGCGCUCGACCCUCAAACUCUCAGACCUUCGAACCUCUGGUCUCAAACAUCCACCAUUCCAGCCUCCAAUCCCGCACCUCAGACCACCUCCACCGUUGUGACUCGCGCUUUAGGUAACAGCUUUCAAUCGCGAACAACUGCUCUGCCUCCUGCAUGUGGGCGCCUCCGCCGGUCUCAGAACUCACGCCCCCGCCAGCCUCAAACACCGCACCUGAGGUGGCCUCAUCCACCCUCUAGCUUCGCUGGAUUGCCCUUGUUUUCUUCUUCUCUCUGUGCGUCCUCUGCCACUGCCAGGUUCUAAUUUUUGAGAAAGCUACGGGAGUAAAACCUUCUCUAGAGGAGGUUUAUACUAAAUGCCACACCAAAAAGGACAAAAGUUGGAUUGACGAAAGAUCUGAGAAAGUCAUUGGCGAAUUUAAGAAGCGAAAGACAGAACUUUCUCAAGUAGCUUUAUCCUUGAAUAAUGAGGGAGAUAUUGAGACAUCUAAGGAAAGCCUAGAUAUACCAGAUGAUUACACUCUUUGGAACGAAUUUAUGACAAAGGAGAAAAAGAAAGUUGCUUUUGGUUUAAAUUCUUUUGGUUUAGAUCUCUCUUUAAAGUUGGAUUCCGGAAAUUGCUCAGAGACAUCCAAAGACAAUCUAAAUAUUGAGCAAGAACUUCACAUGUGGAAAGAAAAGGCAAAGAAGCAAGAAAUGAUCAAUGAACAGCAAAAGGUUAAGUUGAAUGAUGCUGAGCAUAAGUUAAAGGAUCAAGGACGUCAACUAAAAGCUCAACAAAAAAGAAUUGGUUCUACUAAAAAGACAUUUCAUGCUUUGUAUAAAAAGUUGAA